UAAGGGCAAGAAAGCCACUGUUGCAUUCCUGGAUAAAUGGCACAGCAUUUGACCAACAGCCAUGCCGAAUGGUCACCGCAAAAGUGUGCCGCAGGGUCUCAGAUGUAAACGUCAACCACUCUAGUUGUCUGACAAUGGAUGGUGUUUGGGGCCAGCACGUAAAAGGAUAUUCUGCAGGGCAUGGAUUAAUACUGCCGAAGCUGCGUGGACAAUUCUCCUGUCGAGCCCACCACAAUGACUCAUGCAGCAAUUUGAAAUCCGCAAGUCCACAACAAUCAGACAUCAAUCAAUAGGUCACAGAGGUGGCUCGCCAUGAGGGACGGGGAGGAAGAACCACGCACAAUGAUCUCACGACUGCCUGUUACACACUCCUGAUAUUAGUUUCUUUGUUCCCGGGGUUUAGUCUCUAUCAUUGACGAUAAUGGCGUAAUAAAAUUGAGAAAGACAAUCAGGCGUAUACUGGGAUUCUGUUUGGAAACCUGACUUGAGUCUGGAGUCAUGCAGCUAUACUAUUAGGCCAAAAGGAUAUCAAAUCGGCGGACAAAAAAGAAGCGCAUUCAUUUUCUUCACUUACCGCGCUGGGAAUUAAACAUCGAUCUUACCGGUGUUCCAGUCAGUGGCAGAAAUUGCUUAAUAAAUGACACACCUGUAAGGCUGGGCACAGUUGGUGUAUUUAUCUUCAGCCGCCCUUGUUAUGUUAUGUGUUUAUACAAUCACAUUUAACUCGCUCAA